rnacentral:lncRNA from 1 species
CUUUUCUCUCCUCCGUUUUCUUUCAGCCCCAUCCGCCUGCUUUUCUGGUUUUCUCCCCUUCGUUUUCUUUCAGGCCCCUACUUUCCUUUGGGAUUCUCCAGCCAUUGUUUUUUUUUCCAGGUCCAGCCUUUGUUUGUUUUUCUUUCAGGUCCAGCCUUUGUUUUUUCUUUCCUCAAUUUUUACCCAGGUGCUGAACCGACCGGCCAGCUCAUGGGAAACUGCCAGCAGCCAGCUCGACGGCUGGCGUGUGUACCUUUUUCCUUUAUUUCCUUGUAUUUCCUUUUAUUUCCUUGCAUCCUCAUGGCUAAAUACAUACUCCCUCCGUUCCAAAACACAACUCAUAUAGAUUUGUUCACUUUGAACCAAGGCAGCUCUCAUUUCUAGUGUGAUGAGGACAUCCCAACUAAUGAUACAACCACAGCCCCUACAUCACCUACAGCUCA